rnacentral:rRNA from 1 species
AUUGAACGCUGGCGGCAGGCCUAACACAUGCAAGUCGAGCGAGCGGCGGACGGGUGAGUAAUGUAUGGGGACUGCCCGAUAGAGGGGGAUAACUCCUGGAAACGGUAGCUAAUACCGCAUACUAUCGGAUAACCCAUAUGGGAUGAGCUAGUAGGUGCGGUAAUGGCUCACCUAGGCGACGAACCCUAGCCGGUCUGAGAGGAUGAUCAGCCUACAUGGAAAUUGGACACGGCCCAGACACCCACGGAGGUAGCAGGGGGGAAUAUUCCACCAUGGGCGAAAGCCUGAUGCAGCCAUGCCGCGUGUAUGAAGAAGGCCCUAGGGUUGUAAAAUACUUUCAGUCGGGAGGCGUUACCGACAGAAGAAGCACCGGCUAACUCCGUGCCAGCAGCCGCGGUAAUAC